rnacentral:rRNA from 1 species
GACAGAGGGGGCAAGCGUUGCUCGGAAUUACUGGGCGUAAAGGGCUCGUAGGCGGCCAACUAAGUCAGACGUGAAAUCCCUCGGCUUAACCGGGGAACUGCGUCUGAUACUGGAUGGCUAGAGGUUGGGAGAGGGAUGCGGAAUUCCAGGUGUAGCGGUGAAAUGCGUAGAUAUCUGGAGGAACACCGGUGGCGAAGGCGGCAUCCUGGACCAAUUCUGACGCUGAGGAGCGAAAGCCAGGGGAGCAAACGGG